rnacentral:rRNA from 1 species
CAGGGCUUAGGGGGAAAACACCUCAAGUCUGAGCGGGGGAGAUAGCUUGGUAUUACCGAGCGGCGGACGGGGAGGGGGGGUGAACUGCCAGAAUGGGGGAAACAUCUGAAAGGGGGGCGUGGUCCGCAUACGCCCUACGGGGGAAAGCAGGGGAUCACUUGUGACCUUGCGUUAUAGAUGAGCCCAAGCCGGAAGAGCUAGUUGGUGGGGGAAAGGCCUACCAAGGCGACGAUCUGUAGCGGGUCUGAGAGGAUGAUCCGCCACACUGGGACUGAGACACGGCCCAGACUCCUACGGGAGGCAGCAGUGGGGAAUAUUGGACAAUGGGGGGAACCCUGAUCCAGCCAUGCCGCGUGUGUGAAGAAGGCCUUAUGGUUGUAAAGCACUUUAAGCGAGGAGGAGGCUCUCUUGGUUAAUACCCAAAAUGAGCGGACGUUACUCGCAGAAUAAGCACCGGCUAACUUUGUGCCAGCAGCCGCGGUAAUACAGAGGGUGCGAGCGUUAAUCGGAUUUACUGGGCGUAAAGCGUGCGUAGGCGGCUUUUUAAGUCGGAUGUGAAAUCCCCGAGCUUAACUUGGGAAUUGCAUUCGAUACUGGGAAGCUAGAGUAUGGGAGAGGAUGGUAGAAUUCCAGGUGUGCGGAGAAAUGCGUAGAGAUCUGGAGGAAUACCGAUGGCGAAGGCAGCCAUCUGGCCUAAUACUGACGCUGAGGAUACGAAAGCAUGGGGAGCAAACAGGAAUUAGAUACCCUGGGUAGUCCAUGCCGUAAACGAUGUCUACUAGCCGUUGGGGCCUUUGAGGCUUUUGCGGCCGCAGCUAACGCGAUAAGUAGACCGCCCUGGGAGUACGGUCGCAAGACGUAAAACUCAAAUUAAAUUGACGGGGGCCCCGUCACCAGCAGGCGGAGCCAUGUGGACUUUAAAUCUCUGCAGUGCUCAACAGCCGCGCAAGACACGCGCUCUUAUCAACGA